rnacentral:rRNA from 2 species
UAGGGAAUCUUCGGCAAUGGGGGGAACCCUGACCGAGCAACGCCGCGUGAGUGAAGAAGGUUUUCGGAUCGUAAAGCUCUGUUGUUAAGGAAGAACGAGUGUGAGAAUGGAAAGUUCAUGCUGUGACGGUACUUAACCAGAAAGGGACGGCUAACUACGUUCCAGCAGCCGCGGUAAUACGUAGGUCCCGAGCGUUGUCCGGAUUUAUUGGGCGUAAAGCGAGCGCAGGCGGUUAGAAAAGUCUGAAGUGAAAGGCAGUGGCUCAACCAUUGUAGGCUUUGGAAACUGUUUAACUUGAGUGCAGAAGGGGAGAGUGGAAUUCCAUGUGUAGCGGUGAAAUGCGUAGAUAUAUGGAGGAACACCGGUGGCGAAAGCGGCUCUCUGGUCUGUAACUGACGCUGAGGCUCGAAAGCGUGGGGAGCGAACAGG